GAGUACAGUGGCGCACGGGUGAGUAACGCGUAGAUAAUCUACCCCUUAGUCUGGGACAACCUUCCGAAAGGAGGGCUAAUACCGGAUAAUACCAGAGGCUUGGUGGUCUUUGGUUAAAAGAUUUAUUGCUAGGGGAUGAGUCUGCGUAGCAUUAGCUUGUUGGUGAGGUAACGGCUCACCAAGGCUACGAUGCUUAGCGGGUCUGAGAGGAUGAUCCGCCACACUGGAACUGAGACACGGUCCAGACUCC
rnacentral:rRNA from 1 species